rnacentral:rRNA from 1 species
AACGAACGCUGGCGGCAGGCCUAACACAUGCAAGUCGAACGCCCCGCAAGGGGAGUGGCAGACGGGUGAGUAACACGUGGGAACCUACCUUGUGGUACGGAACAACCAAGGGAAACUUUGGCUAAUACCGUAUGAGCCCGAGAGGGGAAAGAUUUAUCGCCAUAAGAUGGGCCCGCGUCGGAUUAGCUAGUUGGUGAGGUAAUGGCUCACCAAGGCGACGAUCCGUAGCUGGUCUGAGAGGAUGACCAGCCACACUGGGACUGAGACACGGCCCAGACUCCUACGGGAGGCAGCAGUGGGGAAUAUUGGACAAUGGGCGCAAGCCUGAUCCAGCCAUGCCGCGUGUGUGAUGAAGGCCUUAGGGUUGUAAAGCACUUUCGCCGAUGAAGAUAAUGACGGUAGUCGGAGAAGAAGCCCCGGCUAACUUCGUGCCAGCCGCCGCCGUAAAAC